CCCUGUGAACCUUUGGCCUCUUGCUAGCCUUGGCCGGCAGAGGAAUUUUUACACCCACUCGAAUGUAAUGAAAUUAUUGUUGUGCGUAAGCACUAAUGUACAACUUUCAACAACGGAUCUCUUGGCUCUCGCAUCGAUGAAGAACGCAGCGAAAUGCGAUAAGUAAUGUGAAUUGCAGAAUUCAGUGAAUCAUCGAAUCUUUGAACGCACCUUGCACCCUUUGGCAUUCCGAAGGGUAUGCUCGUUUGAGUGUCAUUGUACUCUCACACUUCUGAUCUUUUGGAUUGGGAGCGGUGGACUUGGGUGUUGCUGCUUUGCGGUGGCUCGCCUCAAAUGCAUUAGUGCAACUCUUGGUUAGACAUAGUACGGCGUGAUAAGUAUCUUCGCCGGCACCUCGCAAGAGGGUGGCUGAUCAGGAGCUCUGUGCUUCCAACAGUCUGUAUUCAGACAACAACUGACAACUUGACCUCAAAUCGAGUAGGACCACCCGC
rnacentral:rRNA from 1 species